rnacentral:rRNA from 1 species
UACGUAGGGCGCAAGCGUUGUCCGGAAUUAUUGGGCGUAAAGGGUGCGUAGGCGGGUCUUUAAGUCAGGGGUGAAAUCCUGGAGCUCAACUCCAGAACUGCCUUUGAUACUGAAGAUCUUGAGUUCGGGAGAGGUGAGUGGAACUGCGAGUGUAGAGGUGAAAUUCGUAGAUAUUCGCAAGAACACCAGUGGCGAAGGCGGCUCACUGGCCCGAUACUGACGCUGAGGCACGAAAGCGUGGGGAGCAAACAGG